rnacentral:rRNA from 1 species
UACGGGGGGAGCAAGCGUUGUUCGGAUUUACUGGGCGUAAAGGGCGCGUAGGCGGUCAGCACAAGUCAGUUGUGAAAUCUCCGAGCUUAACUCGGAAAGGUCAACUGAUACUGUGCGGCUAGAGUGCGGAAGGGGCAACUGGAAUUCUUGGUGUAGCGGUGAAAUGCGUAGAUAUCAAGAGGAACACCUGCGGCGAAGGCGGGUUGCUAGGCUGACACUGACGCUGAGGCGCGAAAGCUAGGGUAGCAAACGGG